rnacentral:tRNA from 1 species
GGGCCGUUAACUCAGUUGGUAGAGUAUCUGCCUUUUAAGCAGAGAGUCGCGUGUUCGCAUCACGCACGGCCCACCA